UACGUAGGGGGCAAGCGUUGUCCGGAAUCAUUGGGCGUAAAGAGCGUGUAGGCGGCCAGAAAAGUCCGCUGUGAAAACUCGAGGCUCAACUUCGAGCUGUCGGUGGAAACUUCUGGCUAGAGUCCGGAAGAGGAGAAUGGAAUUCCUGGUGUAGCGGUGAAAUGCGCAGAUAUCAGGAAGAACACCCGUGGCGAAGGCGGUUCUCUGGGACGGUACUGACGCUGAGACGCGAAAGCGUGGGGAGCGAACAGG
rnacentral:rRNA from 1 species